GGAUCAGUACGUUGGUCGUGCCUUGGUAUGUACUGGUGUUACUGAUUCCUCCCUUCUGACGAACCUUCAUGCCAUUCACUUGGUGUGAUGGGAAAUCAGGACUGUUACUUUGAAAAAAUUAGAGUGUUUAAAGCAAGCGUACGCUUGAAUACAUUAGCAUGGAAUAAUGGAAUAGGGCUG
rnacentral:rRNA from 1 species